GAGGGUAUAGCUCAGUAGUAGAGUGCCUGUCUAGCAUGCACAAGAUCCUGGGUUCAAUCCCCAGUAUCGCCA
rfam:Camelus ferus unplaced genomic scaffold scaffold1749, whole genome shotgun sequence.